rnacentral:rRNA from 1 species
UUCUUGAAUAUACAUAUAAGAAGUAAUUCCUGCCCAGUGAUAAAUAUUCAACGGCCGCGGUAUCCUAACCGUGCAAAGGUAGCAUAAUCACUUGCCCAUUAAUUGUGGGCUGGAAUGAAAGGACCAACGAAAUAAAAGCUGUCUCUAUAAGUCUUAUAAAAACUAUUCUCUAACUGAAGAGUGUUAGAUAAAAUCGAAGGACAAGAAGACCCUAUAGAGCUUUAUUUUAAUAAAGAAAUAAACUUCUAAUAAAUUCGGUUGGGGCGACCAGGGAAGUAAUAAUCAUCCCUUAAUUUAAGAUCAAUUAAUCACAUAAAUGACCCUUUUUAAGAUCAUAAGAACAAGCUACCUUAGGGAUAACAGGCUAAUCCUACUAGAGAGUCCUUAUUUAUAGUAGGGGUUGGCACCUCGAUGUUGGCUUAGGAAAUCUAUAUGGCGCAGAAGCCCUAUAAAGAUGGUUUGUUCAACCAAUAACAUCCUACAUGAGCUGAGUUCAGACCGGCGUAAGCCAGGUUAGUUUCUAUCCUCGAUAAAUCUCCAUCUAUCUGUAGUACGAAAGGACCCAGAUAGAAUAAUAAUUAUUAAAAAAGAACAAAUAUAAUAAUCAUUUAACAAAAAAUAAUACACACUAUA